UACGAAGGGUGCUAGCGUUGUUCGGAAUCACUGGGCGUAAAGCGCGCGUAGGCGGCUAUUCAAGUCAGGGGUGAAAUCCUUGGGCUCAACCCAAGAAUUGCCUUUGAAACUGCAUAGCUAGAGUGUCGGAGGGGAUAGCGGAAUUGCUAAUGUAGAGGUGAAAUUCGUAGAUAUUAGCAGGAACACCGGUGGCGAAGGCGGCUAUCUGGACGACAACUGACGCUGAGGCGCGAAAGCGUGGGUAUCAAACAGG
rnacentral:rRNA from 1 species